rnacentral:piRNA from 1 species
UGUCAUUCUGUGGACUAUCAUAAAGUUGC